CUUCCAAUCAGGGACGCCGGGCUGGAAACCUUCCAAUCAGACAUGCAGCUGGAGCGGACACGGCGGCUUCCGGGUUUGGCGGGGCCUUUGUCUCUGGCUGCGGCGGGAGCUCCGGGUCUCGUCUUCCCCGCUCUGUGUCCUCUGUUCCAGGAGGCCCAGUUCUAUGGCCCUGUGACCUGCAGGUAUUGGGAGAACCACAGCUAAAACGCCAGGACCUCCCGGAAGCCUAGAAAUGACUUUCUGGCUCCUGGGGGCCAACUAGAACUGUAUAUGUGGGUCACCAAAGCUGUAAUGGCCAGCCUUGGACUUGGAGGCCUAACAGGUUCAUGAAUGGGAAAAGCUUUGGUCUGUGGGGUUCUGAGUCCGUCUUUUCUCCUAUUAAAAAUAUAGAGAAGUCACCGCAAAAAUAUUACAGAAUUUAAUCAAAGAAUAUUUCAAAAAUUGUGGAGUACCCAGCUGUGGUUUGUAGUUUGUCGUCUAUAGGAAGGGCUUGAAGAAGAUACUUUUAUAAGGUGAGAUAAA